rnacentral:lncRNA from 1 species
UGUCCCCUCUCAACUGCAUGCUGAAUACUGGAUCCUAGACUCUUGAGAGCUAAAUAAAGUAUAUCUUUUAGCUGCAGUUUCAUAUUAAAAAUGAAUUUUUAACAAUCUGCAUAUUUAGAUGAAAUAUUAGGGAAUAGUUACUAAAUGUACAAAAUGGUAUAAGAAAUGUAUGUUCGUGUCCUCAUUAUACUCCAUUCCAUAAGGUAGUAAAAUACUUGUCUGUUUUUCUUACAGAAGUUGAUUCAAGUCAGUUGAGACGCCAGUUGUGUGGAGGAAGUCAGGCCGCCAUAGAAAGAAUGAUCCACUUUGGACGAGAGCUGCAAGCAAUGAGUGAACAGCUAAGGAGAGACUGUGGCAAGAACACUGCAAACAAAAAAAUGUUGAAGGAUGCAUUCAGUCUACUAGCAUAUUCAGAUCCCUGGAACAGCCCAGUUGGAAAUCAGCUUGACCCGAUUCAGAGAGAACCUGUGUGCUCAGCUCUUAACAGUGCAAUAUUAGAAACCCACAAUCUGCCAAAGCAACCUCCACUUGCCCUAGCAAUGGGACAGGCCACACAAUGUCUAGGACUGAUGGCUCGAUCAGGAAUUGGAUCCUGCGCAUUUGCCACAGUGGAAGACUACCUACAUUAGCUAUGCAUUUCAAGAGCUCACACUUAUAU